ensembl:snRNA U6 U6 spliceosomal RNA
GUUUUUGUUUUGACAGCACAUAUGCUAAAUUUGGAAUGACAUGAAGAUUAGCAUGGUCCUUGAGUAAGGAUGACAUUCAAAUUCAUGAACCAUUCCAUACUUUU